rnacentral:rRNA from 1 species
UCGCGGAUCAGCACGCCGCGGUGAAUACGUUCCCGGGCCUUGUACACACCGCCCGUCACACCAUGAGAGUCUGUAACACCCAAAGCCGGUGGGAUAACCUUUAUAGGAGUCAGCCGUCUAAGGUAGGACAGAUGAUUAGGGUGAAGUCGUAACAAGGUAGC